rnacentral:rRNA from 1 species
ACAUACGACCAUAGGGUGUGGAGAACAGGGCUUCCCGUCCGCUCAGCCGUACUUAAGCCACACGCCGGGAGGUUAGUAGGUGGGUGGGUGA